rnacentral:rRNA from 1 species
CUGGUUGAUCCUGCCAGUUCCAUAUGCUUGUUUCCAAGGCUAAGCCAUGCAAGUAUAAGUGUAAACUCAAUCGAGUGAAACUGCGAAUGGCUCAAUACAACACCCGCGGUGUAAAAGUGAGUGAUAACUUACAUGGAUAACUGUGGUAAUUCUAGAGCUAAUACAUGCCUCAAAGGGGAGUAGCAAUACUCCUCGCGUUUACCGACUCAUGAUGCCCAGCAGACGCGGCGCAAGCCGAGUCUACUUCAGGUACUACUUCGGUAGUCCUGGUUGAAUCCACGGUAACCAUGAAUGCUGACCGAGGACCUGACGGUUCACGGCAGUUCUUAACAGCGGCUGUCUUAUCAAACCUGUCGCUAGGACAGAGUCCUACGCAAAGUAAUAACGGGUAACGGGGGACUGGGGUUUGGUUCCGGAGAGGGAGCCUGAGAGACGGCUACCACAUCUAAGGAAGGCAGCAGGCGCGCAAAUUACUCCCUGCUCAAUCGGCGAAGUAGUGACGAAAAAUAACGAUGCUAGACUCGAAAGAGCCCUAGUAAUCGGAAUGAGCCGAAAAUAAGCCUCUUUAGCGAGGAUCAACUGGAGGGCAAGUCUGGU